UACGUAGGCAGCGAGCGUUGUUCGGAAUUACUGGGCGUAAAGAGUGUGUAGGCGGUGCUCUAAGUUCGGUGUGAAAUCUCCUGGCUCAACUGGGAGGGUGCGCCGGAAACUGGAGUGCUUGAGCGUGGGAGAGGUGCGUGGAAUUCCCGGUGUAGCGGUGAAAUGCGUAGAGAUCGGGAGGAAGGCCGGUGGCGAAGGCGGCGCUCUGGAACGUUUCUGACACUGAGGCUCGAAAGCGUGGGGAGCAAACAGG
rnacentral:rRNA from 1 species